rnacentral:rRNA from 1 species
CAGCCGCCGCGGGAAUACGAAGGGUGCAAGCGUUACCCGGAAUGACUGGGCGUAAAGCGUGCGUAGGUGGUGGUUUAAGUCCGUUGUGAAAGCCCUGGGCUCAACCUGGGAAUUGCAGUGGAUACUGGGUCACUAGAGUGUGGUAGAGGAUAGUGGAAUUUCCGGUGUAGCAGUGAAAUGCGUAGAGAUCGGAAGGAACAUCUGUGGCGAAGGCGACUAUCUGGGCCAACACUGACACUGAGGCACGAAAGCGUGGGGAGCAAACAGGAUUAGAUACCCCCGUAGUCCCUGUCUCUUAUAC